ensembl:snoRNA U3 Small nucleolar RNA U3
UAAAAUGUACUUCCAAGGAUCAUUUCUGUAGUGCACUAUUAGAGAACCUUCUAUGAAACAGUAGAGCAUCAAAGGACAAAAACCAUAUGA